AAGACACUAAUGUAAAGGAAAAUACAUCGCUUUAUCAAAGCGAAAUUGCAGGUUAAACCCCCGCGUGUCUUA
rnacentral:tRNA from 1 species